GGAGGGUGCAAGCGUUAUCCGGAUUCACUGGGUUUAAAGGGUGCGUAGGCGGGUUGGUAAGUCCGUGGUGAGAUCUCCAAGCUUAACUUGGAAACUGCCGUGGAUACUAUCAAUCUUGAAUAUAGUGGAGGUGAGCGGAAUAUGUCAUGUAGCGGUGAAAUGCUUAGAUAUGACAUAGAACACCCAUUGCGAAGGCAGCUCGCUACACUAUUAUUGACGCUGAGGCACGAAAGCGUGGGGAUCAAACAGGAUUAGAUACCCUGGUAGUCCACGCCCUAAACGAUGAUUACUCGACAUCAGCGAUACACUGUUGGUGUCUGAGCGAAAGCAUUAAGUAAUCCACCUGGGAAGUACGACCGCAAGGUUG
rnacentral:rRNA from 1 species